rnacentral:rRNA from 1 species
UACGUAGGUGGCAAGCGUUGUCCGGAUUUAUUGGGCGUAAAGGGAGCGCAGGUGGUUUCUUAAGUCUGAUGUGAAAGCCCACGGCUUAACCGUGGAGGGUCAUUGGAAACUGGGAAACUUGAGUACAGAAGAGGAAUGUGGAACUCCAUGUGUAGCGGUGGAAUGCGUAGAUAUAUGGAAGAACACCAGUGGCGAAGGCGACAUUCUGGUCUGUUACUGACACUGAGGCUCGAAAGCGUGGGGAGCAAACAGGAUUAGAAACCCC